AGUGAACGCUGGCGGUAGGCCUAACACAUGCAAGUCGAACGGCAGCACAGUAAGAGCUUGCUCUUACGGGUGGCGAGUGGCGGACGGGUGAGGAAUACAUCGGAAUCUACUUUUUCGUGGGUGAUAACGUAGGGAAACUUACGCUAAUACCGCAUACGACCUACGGGUGAAAGCAGUGGAUCUUCGGACCUUGCGCGAUUGAAUGAGCCGAUCUCGGAUUAGCUAGUUGGCGGGGUAAAGGCCCACCAAUUCGACGAUCCGUAGCUGGUCUGAGAGGAUGAUCAGCCACACUGGAACUGAAACACGGUCCAGACUCCUACGGGAGGCAGCAGUGGGGAAUAUUGGGCAAUAGGCGCAAGCAUGCUCCAGCCAUCCCGCGUGGGUGAAGAAGGCCUUAGCGUUGUAAAGCCCUUUUGUUGGGAAAGAAAAGCAGCAGGUUAAUACCCAGCUGUUCUGACGGUACCCAACGAAUAAGCACCGGCUAACUUCGUG
rnacentral:rRNA from 1 species